GAUAAAUAUGUUACUGUGAUAGUGUUAUAAUAACACAGAGACUUUGGUAAAUGUGAAAUUUAAGUACUGCUGUACAAUUUUCUGCUCUCAUUUUCAGAUGAAAAGUGCUACACAGUUCUCACACAUCUUCUGACUCCGAAGCCGCUGCAGUGUAAAAUCUGAGAUGUCUUUUCUGGUUGAUUUUGUGCAGAUUUCUGACAGCGACAGCGAUGGUGAGGGAAGCAGUGUACCGAACUCUCAGAUGACUCGGACCAGGUGACCAAACCCAUGCAAAGCACAAUGACUGUGCUGAGGCGUUCCGCC